GAUGAACGCUGGCGGUAUGCUUUACACAUGCAAGUCGUACGAGAGUUUUUAACUCAAGUGGCGGACGGGUGAGUAACACGUAAGGAUUUGCCUUUAGGAGGGGGACAACAACUCGAAACGGUUGCUAAUACCCCAUAUGCUUUCGAGUGAAAUGGAUUUUUCCGCCUAAAGAGAAGCUUGCGGCUGAUUAGCUUGUUGGUGAGGUAAUGGCUCACCAAGGCGACGAUCAGUAUCUGGUUUGAGAGGACGAUCAGACACACUGGAACUGAGACACGGUCCAGACUCCUACGGGGGGCAGCAGUGGGGAAUUUUCCGCAAUGGGCGAAAGCCUGACGGAGCAAUACCGCGUGAGGGAUGACGGCCUAUGGGUUGUAAACCUCUUUUUUCAGGGAGGAAGAAAAUGACGUGUACCUGAAGAAUAAGCAUCGGCUAACUCCGUGCCAGCAGCCGCGGUAAGACGGAGGAUGCAAGUGUUAUCCGGAAUCACUGGGCGUAAAGCGUCUGUAGGCGGUCAAAUAAGUCAACUGUUAAAUCUUGAGGCUCAACCUCAAAAUCGCAGUCGAAACUA
rnacentral:rRNA from 1 species